rnacentral:rRNA from 1 species
GGGGACGUAACAAAGCGACCCAGGAAUGCUUGGGCGUGCCUCCACCCACGCCGGCGUCGGCGGGCGUAUUUCGCCUCACAGUAGGUCGCCGCGACCCGUUGCUUUUGGGGACGUCGAAGGCCCGGACGGAUUGGUACCCUACCGGCUGGGGAUGCGGCUUCGGCUUCUCCUCUUGUCCGGUGGGCGAAACCGCCGGUGUCCUGGCUGCCCUGCGACGGUCGUAGAGACGAGCCCUCUCCCAUUCGUGGGGGGGCGGCUCUCGCGGCGUGCAAAAGGUCGGUGAUCCACCCGACCCGUCUUGAAACACGGACCAAGGAGUCUAACAUGUGUGCGAGUCAGUGGGCGCACUAAACCCAGAGGCGUAAUGAAAGUGACACGGGUUCGGCUGUCGCCUCGUGUGGCAGCCGGACUCAGGGCCGAUCCCUCACCGGUUGCCUUCGCCUCUCUCCCGCGUCUCGGUACGCCGGGUGAGCUAUUUUCCCCGGCCAAUGCUGCGGCUCGGGGGGAGGCGGGGUGCGAUGGUGUCCGUAAAAAAGAGCCUGCUGUUGCAGGGGGGCGCAGGCCCGGGACUUGCCAGGACGCCGCGAGACUGUCACUUUGCUGUGAGGCUCCAGGGCCGAUCAGCGGGUCAUGCGUGCAGUCGGCAAGUACCAUGAGCAGACAUGUUGGGACCCGAAAGAUGGUGAACUAUGCCUGGCCAGGAUGAAGCCAGAGGAAACUCUGGUGGAGGUCCGUAGCGAUUCUGACGUGCAAAUCGAUCGUCGGAGCUGGGUAUAGGGGCGA